rnacentral:rRNA from 1 species
GUCCACGCUGUAAACGAUGGAUGCUAGAUGUCGGGGAGUAUUCUUCGGUGUCGUAGUUAACGCGUUAAGCAUCCCGCCUGGGGAGUACGGUCGCAAGGCUGAAACUCAAAGAAAUUGACGGGGGCCCCGCACAAGCGGUGGAGUAUGUGGUUUAAUUCGAUGCAACGCGAAGAACCUUACCUAGGUUUGACAUCCACGGAACCCUCCCGAAAAGGAGGGGUGCCCUUCGGGGAGCCGUGUGACAGGUGCUGCAUGGCUGUCGU